rnacentral:rRNA from 1 species
GCCAUUCCAGCGCUGUUUGGCAAGGCUACGGGCCUCCACAUCAAUAUGCCUAAGAACACAGUUACAUGCAUCAGGUGUGAUGACUCUGCUUCUGCUAGGGUGGCUCAACACUUCUCCUGCCAGCUGAAGCCCCUCCCUCUGGAGUACCUGGGAUUGCCACUUUCAAUAUAUAGGCUGAGGCGUCAGGAUAUUUUGCCAUUAAUAGACAAGUACUCCAACAAAAUGAAGGGGUGGAAA